rnacentral:RNase_P_RNA from 1 species
CGAGGCGUCCGGGCGGUCGCGUGCCUCAGCGGGGAAACCCGCGACAGGCACGAGGAAAGUCCGAGCUCCACGACGCAGGGUAGCGGGUAACACCCGUCCGCCGCGAGGCGAGGACCAGUGCCACAGAGACGAGCCGGUCGGGGCGGCUUCGCCGAUCCGCCCGGGUGAAACGGGCAAACUCUACCCGGAGCAAGGCCAAAUAGGAGGGCGCAACCGGGGCUUCGGCCUCGGGGUAGGUGCGUCGCCGAGCCCUCGGGUCGGCCGCUCGAGGCGGCGGGCAACCGCCGUCCCAGAUGGAUGACCGUCGUCACGCCGAUCAUGGCGCGGCACAGAACUCGGCUUACAGGGCGCCUCGCUGG